UGUGUGUAGUAUAUAAGUAAACAGAGUUGUGGAGAUCUGUGAUUGGCGUUGGCAAAGUCAGAAAUCUCCUUAAAAGUUCACGUCAAAACUAUCAGUUUCAACAUUCUCUAACCUCCUCUUCUCAUUCCCCAUAUCGUU